rnacentral:rRNA from 1 species
GACGAACGCUGGCGGCGUGCCUAACACAUGCAAGUCGAACGGAGAUGCCGAGGUAGCUUGCUACAUUGGUAUCUUAGCGGCGGACGGGUGAGUAACGCGUGAGCAACCUGCCUUUCACAAAGGGAUAGCCUCGGGAAACUGGGAUUAAUACCAUAUAAAACUUGUCUUUCGCAUGAAAGAAAAGUCAAAGCGAAUAAGCGGUGAAAGAUGGGCUCGCGUCCUAUUAGCUAGUUGGUGAGGUAACGGCUCACCAAGGCGACGAUAGGUAGCCGGCCUGAGAGGGUGAACGGCCACACUGGAACUGAGACACGGUCCAGACUCCUACGGGAGGCAGCAGUGGGGGAUAUUGCACAAUGGAGGAAACUCUGAUGCAGCGACGCCGCGUGAGUGAAGAAGGCCUUCGGGUCGUAAAGACUCUGUCCUAGGGGAAGAGUAAUGACGGUACCCUAGGAGGAAGCCCCGGCUAACUACGUG